CACCGUGAAUUGAUCAAGUAUUUGCAUUAUUUUCGUUUUGGCUAACACUUUUAUAAUAAGAGGCAAUAUAUAAUAUGUAAUAAUAAGACGUUCAAAUGAUGGAUGGAAGGACAGAGGAUUGGUUUGGAAAAAGAAGGCGAAUCCCAACUCAAGCAAGCUGCCAGCUUUAAAGGCAUGAUGCUAGGGUGUGCACUCAUGGUGUGCACUCAUGCUGGACGGCCACGCUUUAAGCUAGCUCCGUAGAAAAAUUGUCCUAGUACCUCUCUCAAGCUGCCUAGCUAUCAAAAUGUCCGUUUUUAAAGCAGGAAAAAGGGCCUUAAGCAGUUUUCAAGUCCUGAGACUGCUGCAGAUAAAAAGAGAGCUCCUUUACCACCAAAUGUGUCUUCGAGAAUUGACCUCGCGGCCAUAUUCGAACAAAUCAAUUCACUCGGAGUUAGGAUGGAGAACGGCUUUUCUAGCGUUCACGCAGACAUAGACAAAGUUAGACAUGAGUUUCAAGAGACUCUGCAAAUAAUGAAGUCCAAGGUUUCCGACUUGGAAACCUCAUUAACGUCGGCUUGGGAGAAAAUAGAAAUCCUAAACAAGCACAGGAGGAACAAGAUAAGAAAUGCAUGGCGAUGGAAGAGCAACUGGAUGAAGAACGCGAGAAAAGAAUACGCCUUGAUGCUUAUUCGCUAAGGGAACACUUGAGUUUCAAAGGUAUACCAGAAAAAGAAGGAGAAAGCUGUGAGAACAUUAUAAGAGACUUGCUGCAUGAGCUCGGCUUCUCGAAUCCUCAAAAUAUAGGUUUUCAUGCUGUCCAUCGCCUAGGCAAACCAAGAGAUGGCGGAAAACCUAGCCCUAUCAUUGCUCGUGUUAUUUCAAGACAAGACAGGGAUCUUGAUUUUAGGAAGAAACGCAAGUUGGUCGGGUCUACUUGUUACCCUGGCGUUUACAUUACUGAUGAUUUUCAGCGGGAAAUUCAAAGAGAAAGGAUUAUUCUAAUUAAAGCAAUGGAGAAAGCAAAAACAAUGGGCAAGCAAGUGCUCGGGCGCUCACUACAUGUUGACGGCAACACAUACCAGGUUGCGUCGGUACCUGAGAUAUACAGGGAAGUGUAAGAAUCGUAGAAAAAAUAUUGCUCAUUCUUGUGUCAUUGCCGCAAGCCUCCCCCUUAUUAGGACUACGAACUUGAUUGACUCUUGUUUGCGCCCAGUUAUGAAUACAUGAUAAAGGAUAUAUGUCUAAUAACAACAAGUAAUUUUAUAGUUAUUGUUAAUAAUCUAGGCAGCUCCCUAUCAUACAAUGAUUUCAGUAAUUGUGAAUGUUUCUAAGUAUAUAAAUCAUAGGAAGUCUUGCUGAGAGGUAAUAUAAUGGAUAAUAUUUCUUUGAACUAGUCUGCAAUCUGAAUAACUAUUACCAUAACAGAUAAUUUACGGACUUCUCGCAUAUAACUUUACUCUAUAAACCAAUGUUUUGUUUGGUUUCUAGAAGUAUUUGUUUUUGGAUUGCUAGUUUUCUUAUUUCUGUAAUAAUUGUUUUAGUUGUUUGUGCACCGUUUGUGAGAAUCACAAUAGGGAUUGAGAUGCCUUAUUUCCACUAUUUUACUUUGUUUUCACCAUCAACUCAUUGUCAUAAAUUGCUUUCCCUCAAUGUACGCGGUCUUCGUUCUAAAGAAAAAAGGCAAAGAGUUUUCGAUUGGCUAAAUCGUCAAGAUGCUGACAUUAUAUUUUUACAAGAUUCCACAGCACCAAGGAUGUUGAAUUGGAAUGGAUGAAAAUGUUAUGGAAAGGCGAAUCUAUUUACGCGCACGGAACUUCACAGAGCAGAGGUACGGCGAUCUCGAUUCGAGAAAAUUUAGAUUUUAAAAUUUAUUUUCUAGAUAUUAUUUUUCAGGAGUCCCCUUUUCUUCUCAUUAAUGUAUACGCACCUAAUAAUGUAAAAGAACAGGUUUCGUUCUUCAAAACAAUAGCGCAAAUGAUUAGUUACUAUCAAGCUGCCUCCAUAUCGAAUCUAAUUUUAUGCGGCGAUUGGAACGUUACUCUAGGCCCGUCUCUCGACGGAUCAGGAGGCAACUUAUCAAAGAAUUCUCCAAAGUGUUAAAGCGAAUAAUGCAAGAAAAUGACUUGAUUGACAUCUGGAGAGUCAGAAACCCAGAUUCAAAACGCUAUACUUGGCGUCAGAAAAAACAGCUAGUUCAGAGACGCUUGGACUUUUGGCUUAUAAGCAAUUUUCUUCAAGAUGUAAUCGAAAGCGCAAAAAUAAAAACGGCAAUACAAACUGACCAUUCAGCAAUCCUUUUGAGCAUAGAUAAUCUAGAAUUUCAAACUCCUGGACCUUUCUGGAAAUACAAUACGAGCCUCUCCGACGAUGGAUAUUACGUUUCCAUGAUAAAAGCUAAAAUUGAAGAACUUAAGAAAGAUACACAAGUUAUACGGACCCGCGCAUUCGCUGGGAUUGGAUUAAAUAUUAUAUAAGAUCAGAAACAAUCAAAUAUAGUAAACAAAAAGCCAAGAAGCGCAGAGAUGAUCUGAGACGCAUUGAAAAAGAGCUCACGCGUCUUGAUGAGCUCUGCUCUAGUGUACCUUCUAUUGAUAAUAUGAACAACUUGGAAGCAAAAUAAAAUGGAAUACGAGGUAGCAAAUGAUUAUAUCAUGCAAGGCUCUAUAGUUAGGGCACGGGUACAAUGGUACGAGAAGGGAGAGAAAAACUCAAAAUAUUUUCUAAACUUAGAAAAAAUUGCAAAGAAAAGGACUGCGAUCAGAAAACUAAAGGUAUUGGAUGGUACGGAAAUCACCAACCCAAAGCGAGUAAUGGACGAGAUCAAACAAUUUUAUUACAAUCUUUACCGAAAACAACCAGUUGAUCGGGUCGACAACAUGCUUUGCCCCUUCCUCGAUACCCCACAGUUACGUAAACUUGAUGACGAUAUGUAAAAAUCAUGUGAGGGGGAUUUAACAAUUGCGGAAUUUUUUAACAUAUUGUCAACCUUUAAGAACAAUAAGACGCCAGGAAAUGAAAGGUUACCUAUCGAUUUUUACAAGACGUUCUGGUUGGCGCUCGGUGAAAUUUUAGUAGAAUGUUUAAAUUACUGCAGAAACGGAGAACUCUCGACUACUCAAAAACAAGCCAUAAUAAAAUUGAUAGAGAAGAAAGAAAAAGAUCGACGCUCUCUUAUAAACUGGCGUCCUAUCUCUUUGAUCAAUACAGAUGUUAAAAUAGGCUCUAAAUGUAUCGCCAAAAGAUUGGAAAAAGUGCUACCUUUUCUUAUCCAUGAAAGCCAGUCAGCCUUUGUUAAAGGGAGAUCGAUUUUUGAUGCUAUACGUACCAUUGAUGAUAUGUUUUUUACUGCGAAUCCGAAAGUAUAGAAAGCUUGCUUAUCACGAUUGAUUUUGAAAAAGCGUUUUGAUUCCAUUGACACUGAAUUUAUGUUUAAAACACUAGAAGCAAUGAACUUUGGACCAUCUUUCCUUGAUUGGGUAAAGACCUUUUAUAAAAACAUAACUAGCUGCGUCAUGAACAAUGGACUUGCUACACCAUACUUUGCGAUUAACAGGGGGGGUGCGCCAAGGGGACACCCUCUCUGCGUUCAUUUUUAUACUCGUGUUUGAGGCGUUGGCAACCUCAGUGAGAAAAUAUAUAAACAUCGAAGUAGAUUGCAAAGAGAUUAAGACAGUGAUUUUUGCUGACGAUCUAACAAUCUUUAUUCGCGACCAAUAUCAUAUCAGUUCUUGUUACAUAAAUUGGCAAUGUUUAGAGCUUUUUCAGGGCUUAGAGUCAAUGAUGACAAAACAGAGGUCCUUGGUCUGGGACCAAUAAAGAUAACUAAAGAAGAGUUGGGCGUAAAGAAAAUAAGCAAGUCGGUGAAAAUUUUAGGCGUUUAUUUUAGUUACGAUAUAACCCUGUUAAAACAACUGAAUUUUGACAAAGUACUUAAAUCAAUUGCCAAAAUUAUGAAUAUGUGGAGCUGGAGAGGUCUGACACUAUCAGGGCGAAUUCAAGUUAUUAAAUCUUUUAUUUUGCCUAAGAUCCUUUAUAAUCUAAUACCCCUUUCAAAAUCUCCAGACUAUAUCAAAAAGAUUAACACAUCUAUUUUCAACUUUUUAUGGAGCAACACGCCAGAAAAAAUCAAACGAUCAGCCAUAAUAAACGAUUUUGACGCGGGACGUCUUAAGAUGCCAAGUAUUGAAGACCUGCUAAAAACGCAAAGAGUAAUCACUAUUAAAAAGUUUCUUGACAACACACCAGUCUUAUGGAAAACGUUUUUGCAAUUUUAUUUAAAGGAAGUAGGUGGAAUUUUUUUAUUUUUGUGCAAUUUCGAUCCGUAUCUUUUAUCAGUUAAAGCCUCACCCUACUAUUUCGAAUGUCUUAUAGCUUGGCCGAGAUUGCUUCCGAGUCAUUUACCAUUUGACCUUCAUGCAAUUAUUUCAAAGAUAAUUUAGCACUGUACAUGGAAGUUAGGUGAAAUGAAAAUUUAGCUACCUUUUUUAACAAACUGCAUCUUUUGGUAAUGACGCACCAAGCCCUAUUUUAUGUUUUAACACAAAAAUACCAGGUGAACCUACGCUUGAAACCAUGGUUCUUCAAUAUGGGGGUCUAGUGGGUCCAUGGACCUCCUCAUCGAGGGUCAGUGUUUUGUACGAUCCACCCAAGACAAAGUGUCAAUUCAAAGAGUAUUAGCCAAAAAACAACAGUAAAGAAGGUUGAUAAAACUGUUUAUCCAAUA